GUGGGGAAUAUUCCGCAAUGGACGAAAGUCUGACGGAGCAACGCCGCGUGAGUGAUGAAGGUUUUCGGACUGUAAAGCUCUGUUGUUUAGGACGAAAGUGCCUGUUGCGAACAGUUACAGGUAUUGACGGUACUAAACGAGGAAGCCACGGCUAACUACGUGCCAGCAGCCGCGGUAAUACGUAGGUGGCAAGCGUUGUCCGGAAUUAUUGGGCGUAAAGAGCAUGUAGGCGGAGAUUUAAGUCUGUUGUGAAAAUGCGGGGCUCAACCCCGUAUUGCGAUGGAAACUGAAUUUCUUGAGUGCAGGAGAGGAAAGGGGAAUUCCCAGUGUAGCGGUGAAAUGCGUAGAUAUUGGGAGGAACACCAGUGGCGAAGGCGCCUUUCUGGACUGUGUCUGACGCUGAGAUGCGAAAGCCAGGGUAGCGAACGGGAUUAGAUACCCCGGUAGUCC
rnacentral:rRNA from 1 species